rnacentral:rRNA from 1 species
UCCUGGCUUAGGACGAACGCUGGCGGCGUGCCUAACACAUGCAAGUCGAGCGAGGAGAUCCUUCGGGAUGAUCCUAGCGGCGGACGGGUGAGUAACACGUGGGCAACCUGCCUCAUAGAGAGGAAUAGCCUUCCGAAAGGGAGAUUAAUACCUCAUAACAUUGCAGUUUCGCAUGGAACAGCAAUUAAAGGAGCAAUCCGCUAUGAGAUGGGCCCGCGGCGCAUUAGCUAGUUGGUGAGGUAACGGCUCACCAAGGCGACGAUGCGUAGCCGACCUGAGAGGGUGAUCGGCCACAUUGGGACUGAGACACGGCCCAGACUCCUACGGGAGGCAGCGGUGGGGAAUAUUGCACAAUGGGGGAAACCCUGAUGCCAGCAACGCCGCGUGAGUGAUGACGGCCUUCGGGUUGUAAAGCUCUGUCUUCAGGGACGAUAAUGACGGUACCUGAGGAGGAAGCCACGGCUAACUACGUGCCAGCCGCCGC